rnacentral:rRNA from 1 species
AGCUCCAAUAGCGUAUAUUAAAGUUGUUGCAGUUAAAAAGCUCGUAGUUGGAUUUCGGGACGGGUCAUUUGGUCCACCGAAAGGUGUGUUACUGAGUGGUCUGUCCUUCUUCGCGAAGACUACGCGUGCCCUUUAUUGUGUGUGCGUAGGAUUUACGACGUUUACUUUGAAAAAAUUAGAGUGUUCAAAGCAGGCUAUCGCUUGAAUACAUGAGCAUGGAAUAAUGGAAUAGGACUUUGGUCCUAUUUUGUUGGUUUCUAGGACCGAAGUAAUGAUUAAGAGGGACAAUUGGGGGCAUCCGUAUUUCGUUGUCAGAGGUGAAAUUCUUGGAUUUACGAAAGACGAACAACUGCGAAAGCACUUGCCAAGAGUGUUUUCAUUA